CCUUUUUUCUUUUUUCAUUUUUAGACAGGGUUUCCCUAAAUUGCUCCAUCUGGCCUCAAACUUAGUAAUCCUUCUGCCUCAGCCUCCUGAAUGACUGGGAUUACAAGUGUGGGGUACCACGCUCAGCUUGGUGAAGGCCUUCUUAUUUCAUCCUUACAUAGUAGUAGAAGAAAAGAGAGUGAAUUCUCUCACUCAAGUUUUUUUUUUUCUUCCUGUACCAGGAAUUGAACAACCCAUUGGCAUUUACCAAUGAGCCAUAUCCCCAGCUCUUUUUAUUUUUAAUUUUGAGACAGGAUCUUACUAAGUAACUUGCUAUCUUCCUGACUCAGCCUCCCAAGUCACCACCUGCACCCAGCUACCUCAAGACUUAUUAAGAGUCCUGAUGCCGUCCGGGAGGGCUCUGCCCUCUUGAUUUAUCACCUCCUAAAGGUCCUACCUCUUAAUACUAUCACACUGACAACCAAGUUUCAACAUAUUAAUUUAGGGGAUACAUUCAGACCAUAGCAAAGUUAAGAGAAAAGAGAGAUCACCUUUGCUGUGUAGAAAUGAAGGAAUGGUAUUUGAACUGACACUGAAGAAUUUUUAUAAAAGUUCACCAUCUGGGAAUGGCCUGCACAAUAGCUUGUUUUUUAGAGAAUCUGAGUGAAAAUCAAUAAAUAAAGUUGUUUUUAAUAGAGCACAAGGGUCUAGGGAAUAGCUCAGUGGCUGAGUGCUUGCCUAGCAUGUACAAAGUCCUGGGUUUAGUCCUCAGCACUGCAAAAAGAAAAAAAAAAUAAAGGCCAAGAUUCAUAAGAUGGUAAGAAAAUAAAAAUGAAAGUAAAAACUGAGAAUAUUAGGAAGAAAUUUAUUUUCAGUAUCAUGAUAUUUCCAGGAUUAAGGAGGAAUUUAUUUUUCCUUCCAUGAAAACUUUAGUUCUUUUGAUUCUCUUCUUUGGCUUUUAGAAAAGAAACUGAUAUAGUAAUGAUCUUAGGUAUCAAAUAAUGAGAAUAGGGGAGAGAUUAAAGUCUCACUAGACAUAUUUAUGCUUUAAUAUUUGCUUUUGAUAAUAUUAAAUUUAAAUUAUUAGAUUUUUUAAAUAUUUUUUUAAUUGUAGUUGGACACAAUACCUUUAUUUUAUUUACUUUUAUGUGGUGCUGAGGAUCGAACCCAGGGCCUUGCAUGUGCUAGGCAAGUGCUCUACUGCUGAGCCACAACCCCAACCCUAUUAGAUGGAUUUUAAAACAGACUUCAGGGUUAGUAAAGAAAACACAGGCCCUUAUUGCAUUGUGUUCCAUGCUCCUCAAGUCACAGGGUCCUUGGGGCUAGGGGUGUGGUUCAGUGGUAGAACUCUUGCCAGGCUUUUCUGGUUUCCAUCCCCAGUAUCAUACACCACACACACACACACACACACACACACACGUACACACUUGAGUGCGAAUGCACACACACCUGCACACACAAGUCACAUGAUCCUGAUGUUUUUUUUCUUCCCUUGAAAAUUCCUAUCAUUCUGAGACUGUCCAAUUCUAUGGGAGACAACACUCAGCAAAGGAAAAACAUACCCCACACUUACAUGAAGCCCCUUCAGGGCAGUUCCUAAACAUCAGAAUGCAUUCCCUGAUUUUGUUUUGUUUUAUUUAUUUAUUUUGGUACUGGGAGUGGCUCUACUACUUUGAUCCCAGGAGUGGCUCUACUACUGGGCUACAUCCCUGUUUUUAUUUUUUAAAUUUUGAGAUAGGGUCUCACUAAGUUGUUGAGGCUAGCUUCAAACUUUCUGUUCUGCUUCAGCCCCCCAAGUAGCUGGCAAGUACCACUACACCUGUCUAUUUCCUGGUUUUGAAAAAGGAACCCCUAUCCCGUUGCUUGAUAAAACAUAGAAGGUCAAUUUUUAAAGUUUUCUCUAUUCUUUAAGAUUUUACUUUAGAAAAGAAAGAUAAUAUAUGGAAUUGAACUGGGUAGAGAAAAUAGAUUUAAGGCAAUGCUGAAAUUCUUAGAGAAUUUAAUUUACAAAAAUUACAAUAUGAGGUUACAUUUUAUUUUCCUCUGGGGUAUAAAGAGCACUGUGAACUAUCACAUUCUAUGUUAUCAAUUCAUAUUUGACUUUUAUCUUUUAGUGGUAUCUUGAGGGACAUAAUAUUUCUAACAGAUUAAAAAUAAGGGAAAAUUUACAAGUCAAAUAACUAAAAACGUGAUUAACAAACAACAUUGGGGGUAAAAUUCAGUAGUAAAGCGCUUACCUAGCAUGCAUAAGGCUCUGGGUUCAAUCCCCAUCACUAAAGAAAAAAAAGGGGAAUGAUAUUAUGAGUGCACAUACCUACAUUCACGUGCUACUUUCACCAGUUACAAUCUAAACAGAGUUUGGUCCUGUCUCUAGAAACCAGGUCUUCCUUUUCUCUAAGCAAUAGGUUCAUUGGGCAGCUUCUUCUGAGGUCUAACUAAGCCCUGAGGAUCUGAAGUAGAACCUUCUAGAAGACAUUGCUUUUGAUGCCCAACAGACCUCAGCAUCUCUUCUUGAGUACUCUAUGGAAACUUCCCUGGGAAGCAUCUGGGGUCACCGUUAGCAGAUCCGAUUCAUGCUGCUUGUAUCUCCAGCAUGUCAAGCCCUCUCCAAUCUCUAAACCACUCACAUCCAGGAAGGCUUCCUACUAGGCCCCAUGAGGCUAAGUCACCACAAGUCAGGCAGCUAUCAGCCUGGAAAAACCAUCCAGUGGUGAGUUGUACUCUGGUGUUUAUUUUUUUCCCCAUUCUCAUAAGGAAGUAAAUCAAUCUCUCCCACACAACUGAGAGCUUGAAGAAAGGGAAAGUCCAUUCUGUUUGUCCAUUUGCCUAUGCUAGUGCCCUGACCCCUUUCUUUGCUAGUGAAUGAAUACAAGAAAUGAGGUCAAAUGAUAUCCCACUUCUUUUGAUUUCUGGCUUGAUUCUAGAACAAGGAGCAAGGAAAUAUUAGAAUCUAAUAAAACCUCAAACGGAUUUUGGUUUUGACUGUUUUUGUAGUUCUGGUAUUUCACUAAUGCCCAUUAUCCCCAAAAUAAUAUAAAAAUAGACUGUAAAUUGAGUUUGAUCUAGUUCAAUUAUUUUGCAGAUUAGGAUACUGAACCCCAGAGAAAGGCCACAGUGAUUAAGUGGCGGAACUAAGUAGUCUGACUCUCAUUAUCUUUUUAGUGCACCACAUUUUUUUGUUUGUUUAUUUGCUUUUUGUAGUACUGGAGAUAGAACCCAAGGCCUUACCCAUGCUAGGCAAGCAUUGAACUAUAUCCUCAGACUUUUUAAUUUUUAUUUAUUUAUUUACUUUCUGUUUUUUGCAGUACUGGGGAUUGAACUUUAGAGUGCUCUACUACCAAGCCAUAUCCCCAACCCUUCUAUUUUUUUAUUUUAAGACAAGGUCUUGCUAAGUCAUCUAGGCGAGGCUUGAACUUGCCAUCCUCCUGCCUCAGCCUCCUGAGUUGCUGGGAUUAUUUUUUAUUUUAAGAUAGGGUCUCACUAAGACUGGCCUCAAUUUGAGAUCCUUCUGCCUCUGUCUCUAGUAGCUGUGAUUACAGAUGAGCACUACCAGGCCUGGAAUCAAUUACCUAGUAGUUCAUGUUUCUAUAAACUUUUUAUUAGAUGCACAUUAAAAUUUCCCCAUUUUAUUGAUUCCUAUGUUUUCAGAAAUUGUGUCUGCACAAUUUAUAGAUGUGCAGCAUUUCCUCAUGGCUCACAUUACAAAUUGUUUUAGAAAAUGUGAAGUAGCUUUUUGGGUCAGCAUGUUGUUGCUUGCUGUUUUCUUGGGACCUAAUGUGUUUGUUAGGGUAGCACCUCAAAAUGAAUAUUUUCAAGUUUGGUCUAUUUAAAACUACUUACUUGAGUUAAUAUAAGCCAGAAUAUUGUGGGUUUUUAUUCACAGGGUACAUGUUUAGUAAUUAAUUGGCAAUUUCUCUUUGUAGGCUUGUUUUGAUCUACCUCCUGAGGUGAUUUCUACCAGGAACCCAGUUACAUGCAACAAAAGGGCAGCUGACCCAGUCCAUCCUGACUUUGCUGGUUUGUUGGUGAAAAACAAGAAUCUUUUAGCUGAGGUAUAGAGAUUAUAUAAACAAAAAAGAACACUAGAAAAUUAUAUCUUCUGUAGAAGUAGGGAGAGUAAACAUUCUGAUAAAGAGCUCAAGGUAUUAUCUAUCCCACUUUUGCUUUUUUUGUGUGUGUGCGUGUUCUCAAUAUUGAAUUCUUUCAUUCCUGAGGAGUAAUUUUAAUUUAGACUCAAAUCUGUCUUUUGACAGAGAAUAUCCACUGGAGAUGACUGACAAAUUUGGGAUAUUAGAACACAGCUUACAGAUUACCAUGCUUAAAAUUUAUGUAAAAAUAAUAAUCAAUUAUAUGUACUAAGUUGUUUGUUUUCCAGUGCUAGGGAUUAAACCCAGG
rnacentral:lncRNA from 1 species